GAUUGGUGUUUGGGGUGUGCAGACCUUGGUUUUUUUUUUUUUUUUUUACUUUAAUGGGUUUUGAGACUUUCAAUGUUUUCCUUCCAUGUCCUUUUUUUCUUUACUUCAGUUUUUGGUUUGGGUUUUUGUGUGGGGGUGCUUUGGUAAAAUCAUGGCUGGAUUUUGUUGGCCUUCCCCCCAAACAGAAUCUGUUUGGUCAGGGGAGAGUAAUGAAAGAGUCUACAGAAAUUUGAAUAAUAAUCCUCUGCGGAUUCGAUGAGGUGUGCUAUAUAUUUCUCACUCUGUUUUUUGCUCUAUUUCUAACUCUCUUCUAAGAUUGUGCAGAAAUCAUGGGGGAAAUAUGAGUAUUUACUAAAAAAUUGAAUGCUAGAUUUGGAAAAACUCACAUGAGAAAGAGUAGGUUCGACGGCGGCAACGGUGGAGGCCUGACAGGCGCCGGCUUUGGUAAAGUCAUGCGUGGAUUUGGUUCGCCUUCCCCAAACAGAAUCUGCAAAGAAGGAGUCGGUUGGAGAGAAUAUAGUCCGAGUCCGGAAUCUGGAAUCUGUACCAAUCCGAGAGACGGUGAGAGAUAGUGUGAGAUCGAGAGAGAUCUGCGGGGGCCGGUGUCGGUGGGUGAGAGAAAGAGACAUUGGUGGUGUUCCGGCGUUGGUGGUGUCGCCUCUGGUGGUGGAGAGAGAGAGAGAGAGAGAGACGGCAGCUGCAGAAUGGAAACCUCUAAAAAGGUAAACUUCCUUUGUAACUUUGCCAUACUCAUGCGUCAGGAAGAAAAGAAUCUGUCCUCAGGAUAAUAAAUUGCCACAUAUAUAGGAGCAUGUCUUUGGCUUCAUAGUUAACGUCAUUGCUCAUAGUAGUUAAUUUGUGGCUGGAUGCAACUUUACACAUAGCAAAUACUACUACUUAUUGGAAGGUACACAUAGCAAUCACUCAUUGAAUGAUUGAAUAAGAAUUCACAGUACCUGAAGUUCAUUGUUAGAAUAAUGAAAAUAUUGUGAUUGAUUAUAGUUGAUAGUAUCGAUUGAAAUUGAUUAGGAUCAAGGAUUUGAUUAUCUUUCUAUAGUAUAGGAUUUGAUUUUGUUUCCAUGUUUUAAGAUUCCACUCUUGUAUAAAUACAAGAGCCUAUGUCAUGUGGAUAUUCACUCCCAUAUUUAACAUGGUAUUAGAGCUAUAAGAUCUAGGCCUUGUGAAUAUUUGCUCUAGGCGGGCGGCCUAAGCCUCUCGUUGCUAGGGUUGUCCAAGAAAAAUCGAGAAUCGUGAAACCGGUCCGGACCGAACCGAACCGAUCCAUGCCUUUUGGAUUUUAUCAGUGGAUUAAUGGUCCGAACAUGGAUUUGAAAAUUAAAAAACCGUGAGAUAUGGAUUAAGAUUGAAUUUUUAUUUUAAAACCGUGGAUUAACCAAACCAAACCGUGAGAUGUUUAAUAAAUAAAUAAAUAAAUAUAUAUAUGUGUGUGUGUGUGUGUGUGUGUGUAAUAUUUAUAAAUGGUUGAGUGGAAAUGGGACUAGUACCUUGAUAAAACACAUGCUAAGUAAAAAAUCCUGAGAGUCAGAAACUUAUGAAACAGACAACACUAGAAUCAUAUGCACAAGUAAAAGGAGAACCUCAUAGUGGAAUUGGGCUUUGGAGAUUUGACCAGAAGGCUUGUAGAGAUGUUUUGGCUAAAAUGAUUAUCAUGGUUGUAACUGUAAUGUUGCAGUUUGUAGCUUAUUGCAAGGUAAUGUUU